GCGGUAAUACGGGAGAUGCGAGCGUUAUCCGGAAUCACUGGGCGUAAAGCGUCUGCAGGUUGUUUAGUAAGUCUGCCGUUAAAGACUGAAGCUUAACUUCAGGAGUGCAGCAGAAACUGCUAGACUUGAGUAUGGUAGGGGUAGGAGGAAUUUCUAGUGUAGCGGUGAAAUGCGUAGAUAUUAGGAAGAACACCAUUAGCGAAGGCGUCCUACUGGGCCAUUACUGACACUCAGAGACGAAAGCUAGGGUAGCAAACGGGAUUAGAUACCCCGGUAGUCCUAGCCGUAAACGAUGGAUACUAGAUGUUGCGGGUUUACCUGCGGUGUCGUAGCUAACGCGUUAAGUAUCCCGCCUGGGGAGUACGCACGCAAGUGUGAAACUCAAAGGAAUUGACGGGGGCCCGCACAAGCGGUGGAGCAUGUGGUUUAAUUCGAUGCAACGCGAAGAACCUUACCAGGAUUUGACAUACUCGGAAUUUCUUAUAAUAGAGAAAGUGCCUUCGGGAGCCGAGAUACAGGUGGUGCAUGGCUGUCGUCAGCUCGUGUCGUGAGAUGUUGGGUUAAGUCCCGCAACGAGCGCAACCCUUGUCUUUAUUUGCCAUUCUUAAGUGGGGGACUAUAGAGAUACUGCCCGUGAAAAGCGGGAGGAAGGUAAGGAUGACGUCAAGUCAGCAUGCCCCUUAUAUCCUGGGCUACACACGUGCUACAAUGACUAAGACAAUGAGAAGCAAGCUUGCGAAAGUUAGCAAAUCUCCGAAACUUAGUCCAAGUUCGG
rnacentral:rRNA from 1 species